GAUGAACGCUGGCGGCGUGCCUAAUACAUGCAAGUCGAGCGAACAGACGAGGAGCUUGCUCCUCUGACGUUAGCGGCGGACGGGUGAGUAACACGUGGAUAACCUACCUAUAAGACUGGGAUAACUUCGGGAAACCGGAGCUAAUACCGGAUAAUAUAUUGAACCGCAUGGUUCAAUAGUGAAAGACGGUUUUGCUGUCACUUAUAGAUGGAUCCGCGCCGCAUUAGCUAGUUGGUAAGGUAACGGCUUACCAAGGCAACGAUGCGUAGCCGACCUGAGAGGGUGAUCGGCCACAAUGGAACUGAGACACGGACCAGACUGCUACGGGAGGCAGCAGUAGGGGAUAUGGCGCAAUGGGCGAAAGCCUGACGGAGCAACGCCGCGUGAGAGAUGAAAGUCGUCAGAACGUAAAACUCUGUUAUUAGGGAAGAACAAAUGUGUAAGUAACUAUGCGCGUCUUGACGGUACCUAAUCAGAAAGCCGCGGCUAACUACGUG
rnacentral:rRNA from 1 species